GACGAAGGAUGCAAGCGUUAUCCGGAUUCAUUGGGUUUAAAGGGUGCGUAGGUGGCCUUAUAAGUCAGUGGUGAAAUCUCGCAGCUUAACUGCGAAAUUGCCAUUGAUACUGUAGGGCUUGAGUACAGUUGCCGUUGGCGGAAUAUGACAUGUAGUGGUGAAAUACAUAGAGAUGUCAUAGAACACCGAUUGCGAAGGCAGCUAACGAAACUGUAACUGACACUGAGGCUCGAAAGUGCGGGGAUCAAACAGG
rnacentral:rRNA from 1 species